CUUGUACUACCCCUUUUACUUGUACAUUUCCACUGCCCCACCCCUCCUGCUGAGGAGUACUUCCCCUUUUGCUUGUGCAUUUAAGCCUUGAGCCUUGCUGAAUACAGUGACACCUUGAUGCUAAUCAGACUGAUCUCCGCGUGUCGUUCCUCGCACUGGGUGUCUGUCUCUCCCUCCCCCGAUUUGGUUCUUAGGAGAAGGGCCGCUCGAGACCCUCGAAUAACUGGACCUGCUGGACGGAUCAAGUGGCGCCAGAUGUGGGGCACGAGGUACGACCACCCUCUGGACAACGGAUUUGAGAGGUACCACGCAGACAGUGAGACAGUUCCCCGCCACUUUGCUUGAGUGUCUCGGACAUCGAGAGGAAGUUGUGUCAGAAGAGAUGGCUCUACUGUGACAUGGUCACCCUACAGCUCCAUGGCAAAGAGACAUGGAAAGAGUUCUUCAUUUACAGAACAUGGCAAGAACACGCCAAGUCCCGGGCAAAGCCAGAAGAUUUCACUUACAAGGAAAUUCCUGUGGAGUUUGGUAUAAGCUUGGGUACUCUAGAAGAGAUACCCCCUUGGUUUUUCCCAGUGUGUGCAGUCCUUCAUUCUCAUUUGAUAAGAGGAAGGGAAAUGUAGUUUAACAGCAUGGGCCUCCUGUACUAGUUUAGC
rnacentral:lncRNA from 1 species